GAUGAACGCUGUCGGCGUGCCUAAUACAUGCAAGUCGAGCGAACGGACGAGAAGCUUGCUUCUCUGAUGUUAGCGGCGGACGGGUGAGUAACACGUGGAUAACCUACCUAUAAGACUGGGAUAACUUCGGGAAACCGGAGCUAAUACCGGAUGAUAUUUUGAACCGCAUGGUUCAAAAGUGAAAGACGGUCUUGCUGUCACUUAUAGAUGGAUCCGCGCUGCAUUAGCUAGUUGGUAAGGUAACGGCUUACCAAGGCAACGAUGCAUAGCCGACCUGAGAGGGUGAUCGGCCACACUGGAACUGAGACACGGUCCAGACUCCUACGGGAGGCAGCAGUAGGGAAUCUUCCGCAAUGGGCGAAAGCCUGACGGAGCAACGCCGCGUGAGUGAUGAAGGUCUUCGGAUCGUAAAACUCUGUUAUUAGGGAAGAACAUAUGUGUAAGUAACUGUGCACAUCUUGACGGUACCUAAUCGGAAAGCCACGGCUAACUACGUG
rnacentral:rRNA from 1 species